rnacentral:lncRNA from 1 species
UUCACACAAACCUUUCCCGAAUUUUAUUGAGGCAUCACCAUCCAUCGAAUGAGAAUUGGUGGCACUAGAAGUAGAAAUCUUGCCAUCCUUAUGAAAUUUCUAUGUUAAACCCGAAUUGGAAGCAUCCAAAGUGGGAGUAACCGUUAAUCUCUUCAUUGGCCCAACAGGCACAUUGAGACCACGCUUAUGGGCUUUCUUUUUACCCAUAAAGAAUAAAGUAAAAACCAGCCAAGUAGUAAAUAAUAAAAUAUUUACUAACCAGCAACUU